UUAUUUUCAAAAUAAACAACCUUCAAGCAUAAAUAGGCUUAAAACUAAUUAAAGACAUGUCUUCAACACCCCCAGCAGUGAAUAAGAAUAUAGAUGCAAUAUAUCUAUUCUUGAAGUUGCAAGAGGCUAGUUAACUUUUAUAUUCCCAUUUCUCUCUUUCUUGAUGAGCUUGCUUUUGUUGAGAAUCCAAGGAGGAGACUUUGGCAGAAUGGCCUUUUUUGAACACCCGCUGGAAGAAGCAACCACUGGAUGAAGAAGAGUUGUUGCUUAUUUCCUUUGCAUCAACAGCAAAAACUCCUUUCUCUGCUGCUUCUUUCUUCAUCUUUUCCUUGUGCAGCUUUCUCAUGGUGUAAGCUUCCGCCAAAGUACACCCUACAAAACCAGCACCUGUUGCCAUGCCUGGAAAGACUAGCUAGCUAGAGGAUCGAUCAAAGUGUGGCUAAAAUUAGAGUCGUAG
rnacentral:misc_RNA from 1 species